UACGUAGGGGGCAAGCGUUGUCCGGAAUCAUUGGGCGUAAAGCGCGCGUAGGCGGCCCGGUCAGUCCGUUGUGAAAGUCAAAGGCUCAACCCUUUGAAUGCCGACGGAUACUGCCGGGCUAGAGUCCGGAAGAGGCGAGUGGAAUUCCUGGUGUAGCGGUGGAAUGCGCAGAUAUCAGGAGGAACACCUAUAGCGAAGGCAGCUCGCUGGGACGGUACUGACGCUGAGGCGCGAAAGCGUGGGGAGCGAACAGG
rnacentral:rRNA from 1 species